GACCAAAAGGCUCCUCAACAGCUUCUACCCCCAAGCCAUAAGACUGCUGAACAAUUCAUAAAAUCAGCACCGGACAAUUGACAUUGACCCCCCCAAACACACAUUUAUUAUUUAACUUUAUCAGGAAAUAUUCCAAAAGUAUGGAAAUCAUCUUGUGCUGCCACUUCAUAAGGACGGGGACAGUAGAGAUCUUCAUCAUCAUCGCCCCAUUUCAAGGCUUCCUUUUCUAGCGAAGAUUCUCGAAUCCUUGGUGACAGUUCUGAGACUAAUCACUGCAACCUGGUUGGCUGGAACUUGCUAAAGACCCAUAGAUGUCUACAUCACUCCCUUUUUGUUUACAAGGCCCCACUUCAUUAACAUCUGUCUUAUCUAAUUUUGCUGUUGAAGUAUACACACCUGAGUUGCCUAACCCGUUCACAAGAUUGGUUAACUCCUGAGGUUCCUAGGGUCUCCACCGAGCAAGAACAACCUCAAUUCGUCGGGGCAUGGACUCUACAAGUUGUGGAAAGGGAUGCUGUCCUAUGGUGACUCCAAUGCUUCCCACAGAUGUGUCAAGUUGACUGGAUGUCCUUUGGGUGGUGGACCAUUCUUGAUACACAUGGGAAACUUUUGAGCAUGAAAAAUCCAGCAGCGUUGCAGUUCUUGACACAAACUGGUGUGCCUGACAUCUAUUACCGUACCCUGUUUAAAUGCACUUAUCUUUUGUUUUUCCCAUAUAAACCUUUAGUUUUUCCCAUUCUCCCUCUGAAUGGCGUACAUACACAAUCCAUGUCUCAAGGCUUAAAAAUUCUUCUUUAAUCUGUUUUUUCCUCAUCGUCUACACUGAUUGAAGUGCAUUUAACAAGUGGCAUCAAUAAAGGAUCAUAGCUUUCA